UACGUAGGCAGCGAGCGUUGUUCGGAGUUACUGGGCGUAAAGCGUGCGUAGGCGGUUGUCUAAGUCUGGUGUGAAAAUCUCCCGGCUCAACUGGGGAGGGUCACUCGAUACUGAUCGACUCGAAGCAGGAGAGGGUAGUGGAAUUCCCGGUGUAGUGGUGAAAUGCGUAGAUAUCGGGAGGAACACCAGUGGCGAAGGCGGCUACCUGGACAGAUACUGACGCUGAGGCGCGAGAGCGUGGGGGAGCAAACAGG
rnacentral:rRNA from 1 species